AUGGGACGCAGCUACUGCCGCCGGCAAAAGGCGAGGUCAAAAGCACCAGCGGUGUGGAGCCCAUGUUGCGGCAGCCCGGAUGCCAGCUCUGUUCGGCUCUUGCGGCCGCUAGCUAGCCAAGAUAGCUUCUUCCAGCUGCUUGUCUGCAAGACCGGCCAUCUGGCUCGAGCGAAGGCCAGCGCGGCGGCUUGCUCGCUCGUGAGUCACGCUCGGGCCAGCCUGCCAACCCGUGCGGAGGCCAGCGCGGCGUCCGGCCCAUCCGGCGGAGCAGCGGCCAACUCGCUCAUCACCGGCGCCACCGAUGAACACGCAUCAGUACUGUUUGAAGUAAUGUUCAGGAAAAAUAAUGAUUUGACGGGAAAUAAAAGGAUAGAAAUCCUGACAUGGUUCGGGCUCAAGUCAAAAGAAGAAAAAACAAACUUCGGUCCACUAGAUGGUUCCAGCUUCCAAAGCAACAAAGCAUGGCACCUGGCCUCCUCAAGCUUCAUGCGAUCUUGCCGGUGGACCGAUGGUGAGGAUGCUGUAGCGGGACAGGAACGUUGCAGCGUGGCUGUAUGGCCGGUGACUCACGAUGGCAGCGGCACGAUCAACUCAAGUCAAGGGGCCAACGCGAUGGAGCAUAACAGAAACACACACCAAAAGCACAAUGGCGUACAAGAAGCUUGGCGACUUGACAAUAGGACGACAAAAGUGAACAUUCAAGUGAAAGUAAUGAGAAUGUGGGACUCACACAAUUCAACAAUUGAUGGCCUUAUGACCCUCAGUAUGAUCUUGAUGAAUGAAAAGGGUCAAAGAAUUCAUGCUACUAUCAGGAAGACUCUGGAUUUGGUGUUCACCGCAUAG
rnacentral:rRNA from 1 species